ACAUGGGGCAGGCUGGCACCUCUCCACUUUGAUGACUACAAGCUCCAGAUGAACUUUCUGCCCUAAUCACUCCAGAGAAGAUCUUCCACCAGGAUUAACAUCUUCAUCCCUGGUGGUGUGCAAGCUGGGAGAUGUUCACCGAGCCUGGGAAAGUCCCGCCAGCCCGAGAUGCAAUCAAGGAGGCACAGAGCCUAUACACAAGUGACUGAGCUACUAUGACUAAGAGAAGUUUCCUUCAAAGGCUAUUGGUUCCCUGAAGGAAACAUAUCAAGCACUAGCAAAGAAAGAAUUUAGGACAUUUUGCUCUCAAGGGGCUCAAUUAUUUCUAAAUAUAUUUCAAAUAAAUGAGACUUUCUUAAACCAUUUAUCACCAUGGCAACUAAGCUGGCAGAGUUGGUGGGAGUUUUAGCUUCUAUCAACUGUGAAAUAUGCUUGUUGCUUGCAAGUCUUUAGGGGGAAAAAAGUGUUCUGUUGAAAAAGUCCAGCAACAAAUUCAUGAAGACUCAUAGGAAAUUAAUGAAUAAAGGGAUGACAAGAGCAUUUGCAAAGAUGUACAAUCUUCCUCUGAGAGUUAAAUAAUAAAAGUCCACUGGACAGGA